rnacentral:lncRNA from 1 species
GUAAGAGGCUGUUGCUUUUCCUAACAGUCAGGGGAGCAGGAUAUUGAGGAUUUUCUACUCUUCUCGGGUGGACCUAGUGGGAUGGUUAUACUCUCUCCUAUGGCUUUCCUUUGAUCAAACCUGGUUCUGUGAAAACUGUGUAUGCUGAGAUAUUCCUGCAAUAGCUGCUGAAGCCAUCUGUCAGUGAGAUCUCCCUUUUGAAACCUGUUCCUGAUUACCUUCCUAUCCUGCUACCUCCAUCACCAUCCAAGGGGAGAAUUUAGUGUCUGCCUUUCACCCAACUUUCAUCUGUGACUCCAAGAAGCUGUAGUACUUACAGCAGCCACAGCUCAGUUAAAGGGUCUUGGCAAAUGGGCUGAACCAGGUUGAAGGUAACUAAAAGUCCUCAAACCCAUCUUGAAGAGUAAAUGAGAUGUCUACCCUAAGCUUGUGAAGACUUCCAUAGGAGGAAUGAGUGGAUGAGAACAGUUUGUUCCAAUCUUCAUGAAGAUAGCUAAAGCAGGUCAAUACAUUACCCAGUGAUGUUAUUGAUCCUCUUCAAAACAAAGGACUAACAACAACAUAUAUAGGAAUAAUAAAGUGGAGGAAUUCCAUGUGAACUGGAACAACCUUCAGGAAGUGAUGCAGAGUGAGAGAAGCAGAACCAGGAGAACAUUGUACACAGAGACUGAUAUA